AUGCAAGCUAACCUUUUCACAAAGAAAAGCAUGUCAAAUUACUUGUCUUGUGUUGCUGUGUUUAUGUGGUAUCCAUAUUAAAAUAAUACGUAUUAUUAUAAACUCCUAUUUUAUAUGGAACCAGGUUGGCGGAUGCCGAAUGGUGGACACAGAUGGAAG